rnacentral:rRNA from 1 species
UACGUAGGGUCCGAGCGUUGUCCGGAAUUACUGGGCGUAAAGAGCUCGUAGGUGGUUUGUCGCGUUGUUCGUGAAAACUCACAGCUCAACUGUGGGCGUGCGGGCGAUACGGGCAGACUAGAGUACUGCAGGGGAGACUGGAAUUCCUGGUGUAGCGGUGGAAUGCGCAGGAUAUCAGGAGGAACACCGUGGCGAAGGCG